rnacentral:lncRNA from 1 species
UGUUAACCUAAACCUGCACUGCCGUUCACGGUGUGUGCCGCCGAGAAGCUGCUCUCCCCUCCCCACCCACGUGAGGAAAGGAACGAUAGGCCGGGGACGUGCGUUUCAAAAUGGCGUCUGCCUGACAUGGGAGACACAAAUGCCCCCAGUGAAGCUGGAAUGCACUCCUCCCCUGCCCAGACCUUACAGUGUCAUCAUGCCGAGCAUGGAAACUUCCACCCCCAGCUCUGGCACCAAGGAGAUUUCAACAGAACCAGAUUUUCCACAUUUCCUGGGCCCGCUGAUAGACCAAGGCCUGGCUAAACAUUUCCUGGCUGUUGUUCCCUUUUGUUAUAAACGGAAAUGCUGCUGCGCAAAGCGGGUGGAGCAGGCUAGCUCCCCUCCAACUUGGCCAAAUUGUGAAUAAACUCAG